rnacentral:ncRNA from 1 species
AUUGUUUCCUGGUACUUGCCCAACCAGCAGUUUUAUCUGGUCAAGUGAAUGAUUAAUGGUCUGGGGUCCAAAGUCAUCUCAAUAUAUUGUCAAAAAAUGUAAGAAGCCCAGCUCACUGCAUUAGACCUGGGUAUGGAGUAUGAGUACCUAGUCGGCGUUGAAUAGAACUUGUGUUGGAAGAUGAACUAAAUACUGGGUAAAGGUGACUGAAGCUGACACUCAACCAACCCAAGAAAAGGGAUUGGUUGAGAUAGAUAACAGGACAUUGGAAAUCAGAAUCCACUAAAGAAUAUAUAUCAACACAUCUAUGGAAUCAACUAACCCUGAAAAUGAAUGGUUAUGUAUCAUAAGAUCCCAUUCACAGCUAUUGUUGUCAAUGAGAAAAAGCAGGAA